rnacentral:rRNA from 1 species
GGGCAAUUCGGAGGAUUGCGACCCCAGGUCAGGGCGGGGUAACCCCCCCAAGUUA